rnacentral:snoRNA from 1 species
UGGACCAAUGAUGAUCGUUUUCAACACCCAAGGACCAUGAUUAAUCUAAUUCUGUACACUUGAGGUCCAAA